UCCUCCCUCUGGCUUCGUGCUUAACACAUGCAAGUCGAACGGUGAAGCGCCUUCCUUUUUGGUGGGUGUUGAUGAGCGGCGAACUGGUGAGUAACACGAUAGUAACCUGCCCCCUUCUGCUGGAUAACCGCAUGAAAGUGUGGCUAACACGGGAUAUUCUGGGUCUGUCGCAUGAUGGGUCUGGGAAAGAUUUUGUUUCGGUUGGGGAUGGGCUCGCGGCCUAUCAGCUUGUUGGUGGGGUGAUGGCCUACCAAGGCGGUGACGGGUAGCCGGCCUGAGAGGAUGGGCGGUACUGGUGGGGAGGAGCGGCCCAGAAGACUACGAGAGGCAGCAGCAGGGAGGCAUAUUGAACGGUGGGAGGAAGGAUGGAGCAACGCCGCGGGGUGAGGGAUGGAGGCCGUAGGGUUGUGAGCCUCUUUCGGGGGAGAAGAAGGCCUGACUCGUUUGUGGGUGGGUUGACGGUAGCUAGACAAGAAGCGCCGGCUAACUACGUG
rnacentral:rRNA from 1 species